rnacentral:rRNA from 1 species
UUGGCGGGGUAACGGCCCACCAAGCCAUCGAUCAGUAACUGGUGUGAGAGCACGACCAGUCACACGGGCACUGAGACACGGGCCCGACUCCUACGGGAGGCAGCAGUAAGGAAUAUUGGUCAAUGGACGCAAGUCUGAACCAGCCAUGCCGCGUGGAGGAUGAAGGCCCUCUGGGUUGUAAACUUCUUUUAUGGGGGACGAAACCCCGGAUUUUUAUCCGGCCUGACGGUACCCCAGGAAUAAGCACCGGCUAACUCCG